ensembl:lncRNA
AAGUCGGGUUCAUAACCUGCUGAGCCACAGCAGGAACUCCCAGGGGAUAUAAUUUUUUAAAUUAUUAGUUAAUUACUUAAUCUACUUCCUCCAUCACCAGAUUGUGAACUCUUUCAGAGGUUCAUAUGAUAUUUUUUAAUUAUAGGAAAUAAUACUGCUUUAAAGAGAAGUAAAAUUCAUAGAUAAAACACCUCAUCUCACUAUAUUUUUAUGUGUGUCUAUUCUUUAAAAAAAAUUUUAACUUGUGAUAAAAUUCGCAUAAUAUGAAAUUUUCCAUUUUAACUUUUUUUUUUUUGCCUCACUCAUGGCAUGUGGAAGUCCCUUGGCCAGGGAUCAAACCCGUGCCAAAGAAGUGACCCAAGCCACUGCAGUGACAACUGCCAGAUUCCUAAACCACUGCACCAAAAGAGAACUCUGCAUAUUAACCAUUUUUAAGUGUGCAGUUCAAGAACAUUAAGUAAAUAUGCAGUGUAGUGUAACUAUCACCACUGUCCAUCUACAGAAUUCUCUGAAACUCUGUCCCCAUUAAAUAAUAACUCCCCAUUGCCCCCUCCUCCCAGCCACUAGCAACCCACCAGUCCCUGAAUUUGACUACUCUAGGUGUCUCCUGUAAGUGGAAAUGUACAGUAUUUGUCUUUUUGUUGAUUGGCUUGUUGCACUUAACAUCAUGUUCUCAAGGCUCAUCCCUAUUGUGUCAGAAUUUCCUUCCUUUUUAAGGCCAAAUAAUAGUCCACUGUAUGUAGAGAACACAUUUCGUUUAUCCACUCAUCUGCUCAUGGACAUAUGAGUUGCUUCCACCUUUUGGGUAUUGUGAAUAAUGGUGCUAAGCACAUGAGUGUACAAAUAUCUCUCUGAGUUUCUGCUUUCAAUUCUUUGGGGGAAUAUUCCCAAAAUAUAAUUUUUAUCAUCAGCCUAGUAAUAGUAAGUAAGUAACAAUACAGUGUGCACCAGCGUUUAAGGUACUAUCUCUUCAACACGCUGCUUCACACUGCUGGGGCUGUUUCUCUGUUGCCAGGUGGCUUCCGAGAGGUCACACCAACAUGGUAGAGGAACUGCAAGGCUGGAGGGAGACGGAGGGGCUCUCCUUUCUAUUCCGCAUUGACUCCCUGUUAACUUUCAGUCUUGUCAGUGUCCCCCAGCCUCUUUCUUCACCAGCCAGCACUCUUCAUUCUGAGCAGCAGUUGAAUUCAAUUUGCCAUUUUUCACUCACAGAACCAACCUCAUGAGUUCUCUCGGAGGCUCUGGCCCAGCCCUGGGGACCCUUCCUCCAAGGUCAGACGUCCCAGCAUCAUUAUUAUUGCCGUCUCAGGGCAUCUUCCGAGCAUCUAAGUGUUGACAAGUUCAGCCUCUUCCUUCUGUUCCUCCAGCCUUGGGGGCAGUGAUUGCUUCCUGCAGUUGCGACUCCCUUGCUAUCUUAGCAUUCAGCUAUUUAGUUAAUAGUUCUUAUAUUAAAUUCUUUCUGUUGAAAUAACCAGCCUAUUUCUGCCUCCUGACAGAACCUUGAUGGUAUAUUGUGUGCUAUCUAAUUUUUUUCCUAGACUAAACUCUAGGGUCUCCUCUAGUUUUUAUUUUCUCCUAAAUCCAUUUACUUUUAUAUUUAGGGAGUGUGAAGUUUCCACAACUCUAACCACAUUUCAUACCGUUUGGAUUCAUUUCUCAUUUGAAAUGCUUGCUGGUAUCACUGUGGCCAUUUCCUGCAUGAGUUUCAGGUAAUGUUUCACACCUUUUCUGGAGACAUCCUCUGGUUCCCUCGAGCUGGAAGGUCUUGAAUGCCUGACUAGAGAUAGACCUAAACUAAUCCUGUUAAAGAGCUUCCUUUUGAGGCCCAUUUGAUUGGGGGGCGGGGUCCAAAAUGUUCCUUUUUAUUUGACAGUGCUGGCUUUUUAUAGUGCUUUUUCUAUUAUUAUCAUUAUGUUUAUUAUUUUUAUCCAGAUAAAUAUAGCAGAGUUCUCUUAGAGUAGGGUUUUUUAUACACCUACACAUGUUUAUACAUGUGCUCACUGCCUAGCAUUAGAAAAUGAUCCUAGUAAGAAUUUUUUUCCUAGACUAAACUCUAUUAACUAAGAAGGAAAACAUUGGGCAAGAUGUUUAUGGGCCCUAAGACCGUCCAUGGCAUUAGGCACUUCGGUGCCCUGUCGCUAAUGGGGUGCAAGGUCGACUCACACUUAGCAUAGGGGUGGGCACUGGCUGUGUUUAGCAAUUGUUCAGCGAAAUGCACAGCAUAUGGAAGUUCCUGGGCCAGGGGUCAAAUCAGAGCUGCAGCUGCUGGCUCACGCCACAGCCACAGCAAGGCCAGAUCCGAGCCACGCUGGCGACCUGCACUGCAGCUUGUGGCAAUGCCAGAUCCUUACCCUACUGAGAGAGGCCAGGGAUUGAAUCUGCAUCCUCAUGGAUACUAUCGGGUUCUUAACCCACUGAGACACAAUGGAAACUCCCAAGUUUUUUCAUAUAUAUGUUCUGUUUAUUCAACUCAGUAUAUAUUAGCUCCUUUCUAUAUAAGGUAAGUGAGGCUCAAAGCAGACUUAACAUUGAAUAUUCAAAACUGGAGCCAGUGUAAUCGCCACAUACCGAGGACUUAUUUUUUCCACUUCUGAUCUCUAAGCAGCACAUGUGGCCUCAGAUAAAUGGUUCUGAUAUUAAGGUUUUCUAUAUAAACAAAUUGUAAAUGAGGCUUUUGUAAAAAUUAGGAAAUGUGUAAAGUUUACCUAUAAAUAUAUAUGUGUAUAUAAAAUUUGUGAUAUGCAUAUGUAUCCUGUCUCUGUCAAGAAUUUUGCGUGUGUGUGUAAAUUUUUAGCAUGAUAGGGUCCCUGGACUAGGCUGUAUAAUCUUGAACAGGACCGUUCACUCUCUUCGUGAGUUUCCUCAUCUGUAAAAUGGGGAUAAAAAUAUCUAACUCAUUGUGUGGUUGUGUUAUAAUUGAGCUGACCUUCAUAACGUCGCUGGUGCCGUGCCUGGCACGUCCUAGUUCUCUCCCCUUUAUUUCAGGACAUACCAGAAAAUGGGAUAAAGUAUGUGAAUGUGGGCCGUAAGCUGUAAAGAUCACCACAGAUUUAACAUAUUCUUAUUUUAACUCUAAAUUCUUCAUGGAGACAAAAAAUGCAAGAAGCUAAUUAUUCUAAGAACAAUAAGAUGCAACUGUCAUUUAUCUAGGAUGUUGAGGACAAGGUUUAAAUAGAUCCUCCGAAGCAAAAGACUGUGAGCUAACAGAACAAGGAAAUUAGACUGCAUUAUAUUCAUAUAUUAUUAUCUUUGGAAAAGUUGAUAACCACCUUUUAACAUGCAGUUGUUUCCAGGGAGGAGAUGGACAGGCGAGCAGGGAGGUGGCUCUCCUUGGCUGAAGCUCCUCGUCUCUGCCCAGAGGUGCCUUCCAGCUUCCUCCCGCUGCUGCGCGCGACGGAUGUGGGCUGUGGAGGGCGAUGGGGUGACUGCUCUGGGGUCUUCCCACGGAGCAGUUUCAGCUUAACUCACAGUCGGCUGUCAGUUCAUCAGAACCCGAUGUGCUGCGGGUCUGUGUGCGCUCAGGUAGUUCCAUUCUCUCGCUUGGCCCUCUUCUGCUCUGUAUGAUGGCAGACGGCAUUACCCAGCCUUCCAUGCAGCUGGCUUCCAGGAGUUUUGGCCAGUGGGAGGCACUGGAGAAGUCUGGAAGGUGGAAGAAGGGGGAAAUUGGGAGUGUUUAUUCCCAUCUCCCUCUGCCCUGGGUAGAUCUCCAGAGCUGGCGGCAGCUACAUCUUCCUCAGGGCUCCGAGUCCAGCCCCCAUGCCCCACCUUCCCCCGCAGUUGUGUUUCCCACAGGUAGCCUGCUCUUGGACUCUGGAACACCACUCCUUCCUGUUGUCGUUCCAAUCUUCUGGGUCACAGUGGUUUCUUGUUAAUUUUUUGGCCUUGCUCGCGGCAUGAACGAGUAUCCAGGCCAGGAGUCAAACUGUGCCAUAGCAGUAACCAGAGCCACAGUAGGGUCAAUGCCAGCUCCUUAGCCUGCUGAGUCACCGGAAAAUCCACCACAGUGGUCUCUUGAUGCUGUUCCAUUAGAUAUCACAGUCCCAUCUCUGUCUUCUCAGUUCUUCCUUUCCCUGGUAACCACUUUCUUCUGUUCGGUUCCCUUUGUUGAAGGCUCUGGAGAGCGUUUGUGUUCUCACUGGACCCUGUGAAAUGCAGCUGGGGAUAUCCUGGGAUAGACCCCUUGGAUGGGUGGGAGGUGGAUGGGAGGGCUCAGCCUCUCGUCCCCACACCCGCUCUCACUGCGUCUUCUUUACGUUACCCUACGGGGCCCUGUUCUCCUCCCAGCUCUGGGAGACAUCGUGUUCCUUCCUGCUGGGUGGAUAUAGAACAAAUAUGUCCCUUCAUUUUUAAAAAUCAUGAACAGCUGCUCAUGCUGCAUGAGCAGCAGAAGGCUGAGUAUUAAUAACGGAAUUUAGUGAAGUAAUCACAUUAAACGUACAACAAAAUGAAUCUGCCAUGAAUUAAUGCUAUGCAGAAACAUCACUGCCCUGCUCUGGGGACUGGUGAGGGCAUAGCCCUGGUUAGAAAUGGCUGCUGGCUAACUGACUCUUUUCCUUUCCUUUCACAAAACCUGGCCGGUAUUUCUCUGGGUUUUCGCUUUAAUCUCUUUAGUUUUCUGGCCUUUGUAAACAGCGUCAAUGCUUACAUUUUUUUCCUUAAUUCACUCUUUUUUGUUUUCGUUAUAGAUAGACACUGUAUACCCUGUGUAUUGAGUAUACUCUGAGGGGAGGCUGACACUCCACCUUGUGUGUGUGUUUCUUCUGCACAAAAUGAAGGGCCCUCGGGCACAAAGCAGCAGCCGGCACGGCAGUAGCGGCAGUAGUGGUGUAAAUUUCUGCUGGGUUUAAGGACAGCCACACGUCAUAGGCCUUAUCUCAUUUAAUUUUCACAGUAGCCCAGCAAAGUAGGUAAUAUUAGUAUUUCCAUUUUAAACAGAAUCGCUGAGAGGUUAACUAAUAACUUUACCCAAAGCCACACACCCUGUUAAGUGGUAGAGGUGGGAUGACAAACCCAAAUUUGUCUGACCCCAAUAAAAUAUGUUGAUUUCUGUAGGAAACCUGGCCUCAGUGCAGGUUCCAGAAGGUCAAAGGUACCAAGCUAGCCAAAAGAUCACUCCCAGCUAAAGCCGUUCUUUGCCUUCUGUGGUCUCUGCCCGGUAUCAUCCCUGAGUCUUCCUCUCCCAGGUGGCCCCCAGAUGCAGGACCCCUCGGCACCUGAGAUCAGAUCACAAACCUCCAUCAUUAGGUGCAACUACUUCCUCCCGGGGAAGGAGAGGUUGCAUGAAAAUAUAUUUGGGGAUGGGAAGCAGUUCCUCACGGCCUGUAUUUGAUGCCAUACUUCUCUGUGGCACACACAACUGUGUUUCCGACUUUUUCUCCCUUUGUCCUUUUCCAAAGCAGUCUGCCAGGGAGAGGGGAGCUGUCAGCAGACCCACGCUGUUCAGCUAUUCUCAGAACCCAUUACUGAAGUCUCUCCUAUUCAGAGGCUUGCCUGCUAAUUCUAAAGAGGAGAAGGUGGAGGGCUAUGAAGCCCUCCAAUUACUUGUUCCUGGGUGAACAUGGUUCAGGGAAUGCUAAUGGUACCUUCUCUAAGUACCUUUUACGAGAGACAGCAUGAACAAAAGUCUGAAUUCUGGUCCUCAGGGGCUCCAGUCAUGCGCACCAAAAAGGGGAUUCAAAGGACACCCUCCUCCAAUACCUGCAAAGCAGCGUAUCCCCUAGUACCUGAAUUUCAACUCAGUUGUCCAUGAAGACUUUUUCCCAAGCUAAAAGAAUUUCCUUUAUUGAUAGGUCUUUCUCUCACCUCUCUCUCAUUGCUGCUACCACAUUCUAAAAUGUGGAUGUGAUGAAAAUCCUGUUCUCUAGGGCCAUGGUUAUUUUCCCUUUCUAGUCCAUUAGUAAAAUGAGAUUAAAGAAGCAACAUUAUAUUCUUUAAGGUUAGUUAGCAAAGCGGUUCUCUUCAAAAUACAUUUUCCCCAUUCCAGCUUCACACUGCUGGAUAUAGUUCUGAGGAUCUAAUUUAAUUCUGGUUUUUAAUCUUAAAAUCUUAACUUUGGGAGCUCCUGUUGUGGCACAGAGGAGACGAAUCUGACUAGUAUCCAUGAGGAUGGGGGUUCAAUCCCUGGCCCUGCUCAGUGGGUUAGUGUAGGUUGCAGAGGCGGCUCGGAUCUUGCGUUUCUGUGGCUGUGGUAUGGGCUGGCAGCUGUAGCUCCAGUUUGACCCCUAGCCUGGGAAAUGCCCAAUGCCAUGGGUGCAGCCCUAAAAAGUCAAAAAAAAAAAAAAAAA